rnacentral:lncRNA from 1 species
AUGGUCAGCAGGACCUCACGAGACAGAGGCCGGCUUCCCGUUGGCCUCUCCAGGAAGCAGGCACCGUCUGCCUUUCCCAGCCCUGACGCUGCAGUUGUCUUGUCUGGGGCCGGGAGUUUGGAAGCCUCUGGUGAGCCAGCAGCUCCCAGGAGGCUACAGGGUCACAGCAGGGGAUACCUCCACAGUCAUCGGCCCCCUCCACCCCUCCCCUCUGCAGCCGUGGAAAUACAGCCUCUUUUUUUAUGGGAAGUGUCUUGUCAACUAUACUCUAAACACUUUGAAGGUGAACUGUCCAGUGGCAACUAUACCUUAGGAACACAAAUCUCUCCCCAACACCCAGCGCCAGGCUCUCCUCAGCGCAUAUUUGUAUUAAAUACUCUCCGUAAUACGUGUAUAAAUGGGUGAAUUAAUUAAUAUAUCACAGCUGGCAGCUGACAGACCUUUGUCAGAUGAACCUUCUUUUCACACACGCAAAAAGUCACAUUUGGUUGUGCAUCAAAGGACACCAUCAAGAGAGUGAAAGAACACCCUGCAGAAUGGGAGAGAAUUCUGCAAAUCUCAUGUCCGAUACAGGAUCAGUAUGCAGAAUAUAGAGAGAACUCUUACAACUCAACAACAACAAAAAAAAACCAGACAACCCAAUUCAGAAAUGAGCGAAGGACUUGAACAGACAUUUCUCUAAAGAAGAUGGUAAGCUGUAUGGUGGCCAAUAGGCACAUGAGAAGAUGCUCAGCAUCAUUAGCCAUCAAAUCAAAACCACAGUGAGGUACCACUCGCACCCACUAGGAAGACUCCAACCAAACCAACCAAACAAACAAAGGGGGAGAGUAACAAGCGUUGGUGAGGACAUAGAGAACACGGAACGGUCAUGCGUUGCUGGUGGGGUCGUACAGCAGUGCACCUGCUGCUGUUCCAAGGUUCCGAGGUCCCUCAA